rnacentral:lncRNA from 1 species
GAAAUGAGAUUGCAGUGCACAUGGGGUUCUGCCACUCACAGUGUAGGAUGUUUCACCAUGUCUUCCUGAAAUGAUUUGCAAAUAGUCAAGAACAAAUGACUGUGGUGAUAGAGAUGUAUUUAUUGCUGCCACCUUGUUCCCACUUCACCGUUGCAUAUUUGUACACAGGACACAUAUUUAUUCUUUUAAGUUUAGAUUUUACUGAGAAAUGAGGACCUUAUCUGGACUUCACUGGGAGAAUUAUGAGUGGCCAGAGAUACUACAUUUUGAGCUGGAUGCCAGACCUUGAAAGAACUCUGCAUUUUUCAUUUUGAGAGAAGUCAGUGUGUUUUAUAAUGGGAGGAAGAUUAAAGCAGGUAUUUUGGCAUCAGAAGGACUGACCUUGACAGAGAUUGGUGAGGUCCUGAGAAGAGGAUUAGAAAAAGGCAACACAUCAAAAAGUUAAGAGGCAGAAAUAGCUUUUAUGUUGCUGGUAAAUUUAAUGAGAUCUUAAGUUAUUAGACUGGCAAGUCUCAUCUCUUUGAGCAUCUCAGUGAAGACUGUCAGAAAUCAUCAAAAUUCAACACAACAGAGUAAAAGCUAAUAGCCUUUUUGUUAUACCAAAACUGAAAGGAUUGAUGUUCUUAAGUAACAAAAAGCAAUAAAGAUAAAAUACAGGACAUCAAAGAUAUCACAUACAUUCAUAUAUCUCAAGAAAUGAAAGCAAUGAAAGAGCUGUGGUCAGCCAAAGAGGAGCAAAGAGUCAUCUACCUCAAUCAUGUUCAGGAAAUGAUCAGGUCAAGAUGUGGAGUGAGCAAGCUUUUCUCUUUUGUGCCACAUUUUCUGACCCAGUAUUUCAAGCUACCCAAGGUGCGAAAAAGAAAGAAGGCCGAAGGGAAGAAGGUGGUGCUCACCCUUGCUGUCUUGAAAAAGCAGGAGACCAUGAAAGUGGUGAAUCUUCCAUUUGAGAAAUUUGGCACUGGACAGGACAUUUUGGCAUUGGACAGAACAUCCAGCCCAAAAGGGACCUCACUUACUUUGUCAAAUGGCCCCAUUAUACUAGGUUGCAGCAGCAGAGAGCCAUCCUCUAUAAACAGCUAGAAGUGCCUUCUGUGAUUAAUCAGUUCACCAGGGCCUUGGACCACCAAACAGCUGCUCAAUGGGGGCCCAGUGCAAAAUGACGUGGAUGUUGUACCUCGUUCAAAGUGUUAAGCGUUUCAAGAUGGCAACAGCAGAGCAUUAGGCCAAGUAUGAGGUCAUUAUGUACAUGGGUCCUUGUGUGACCACACAGGUCACAGGAACAUGAAGCUAGACCUGAGUGUAUAUUCAGAUAGGUAAAUCUUACAGAUUUUUAAAACUCAAUAAAAGAAAAACUACAUUUCAUGUGUGAACACAAAAAUUGGAAUUAAAUUGGCAAUAGCAUUGGGAUUUGUGCUCAGAGUCACAGUUUACAUCUGACCACAAUUUCUAUAUGAAUUUUUUAAGAUAAAACAGUAAGAAUUUUAGAGAAGGUUUCUGAAAUUUAAAAAUUAUAAUAACAUAAUUAACUUUGAUAUUUUAAUUCCAUGUAAUUUAAAACAUUUAAUAGAUAUAUAAUGUUCCACUAUUAAUUUAACUAGAAGUAUAAAAAUAAAACAUAUAUAAUAAAAAUAUUCUACUGAUUUUUAAAUUAUCUAUAUUAUACUGAGUAAAAGAAAAUUUAGGAAUAUAAAUAAAUGAGCAUUUUUGAACAUGUAAAAAUAUUUUCUUGCUGUUUUUAGGAGACUUUUAGCAGGACAGGAGCUUACCUCUCAUCUACCUCUGCUUGGACAAACCAGUGAUGUGAUUUGCAAAUAGGCUGUAACUUCACCGAAAACACAUCACAGUAAAGAAAAGCAGUGACUUUCAGAGAAUUUGACCUAACUUAGAAUUUGUAAAAGAGAAAAGCAUUGUCCUUAUGCCUAAAGUACAUGACUGUUUCUUUUUAAGUUACAUGUAUAUUUACCUGACCAAUUUGUUUUACUCUGUAUUUUAAGUUAUCAGGUGAAAUGGUUUUGGAAUAAAUUAAUGAGUUGUUUGUUCUGAAUAAAUGUGCAUGUUACAAGUGCAA